UUUAUAGGAAUCGCUGGUUUCAUGAAAACCUUUAACAUCCUUAGAACCUUUCCAUUCCACAAAAGGUUCUUUAUAGUGGAAAGAAGUUUUUUAAAUGUU